AUGGCAUUCUGGCUGAACCUCAUGUCCUUGUUAGUUGUCCUCAGAGGUGUCCAAUCUGAGGUCCAGUUGGUGGAGUCCGGAGGGGAUGUGAGAAGACCUGGGGAGUCCCUCCAUCUCUCCUGCCAAGCCUCUGGAUUCACCUUCAGCGACUAUUUCAUGGGCUGGGUGAGACAGGCUCCUGGGAAAGGACUGGAAUUUGUGGCACGUACAUGGUCUUCGUAUAUUUACUACUCUGACAAAGUCAAGGGCCGCUUCACCAUCUCCAGGGACAAUGCCAAAAGCCAUCUGUAUCUGCAAAUGAACAGCCUUAAACCAGAGGACACAGCAGUCUAUUAUUGUCAGAGAGACACAAGUGGAAUAAACUACUAUUCCAGCUCAACAAGAAUUUUCUCAAGAACUGGUUGCCACAUCAUUGUCAUGGACAAGGAUUUAGAGAUACAGUGUCCUGAUGUCCAUUCCGCCAUCCAACUUGUGGAAUCUGGGACAGGAAGAGUGAGCCCUGGAGGAUCAUUAAGAUUAACUUGCAAAGUGACAGGGGAAUCCAUCAAGAAUAUGCUCCUUGCAUGGAUCCGCCAGUCUCCAGGAAAAGGAUUGGAAUGCGUGGGUGACAUAAAUUGGGAUGAUGAGGAUGGUGAAGUUUUCUCAAGAACCGGCUGCCACAUCAUUGUCAUGGACAAGGAUUUAGAGAUACAGUUUCCUGGUAGUUGA